rnacentral:rRNA from 1 species
GAUGAACGCUAGCGACAGGCUUAACACAUGCAAGUCGAGGGGCAGCACAGGUAGCAAUACCGGGUGGCGACCGGCGCACGGGUGAGUAACGCGUAUGCAACUUACCUAUCAGAGGGGGAUAACCCGGCGAAAGUCGGACUAAUACCGCAUGAAGCAGGGGUCCCGCAUGGGGAUAUUUGCUAAAGAUUCAUCGCUGAUAGAUAGGCAUGCGUUCCAUUAGGCAGUUGGCGGGGUAACGGCCCACCAAACCGACGAUGGAUAGGGGUUCUGAGAGGAAGGUCCCCCACAUUGGUACUGAGACACGGACCAAACGCCUACGGGAGGCAGCAGUGAGGAAGAUUGGUCAAUGGACGAGAGGCUGAACCAGCCAAGUCGCGUGAGGGAUGAAGGUUCUAUGGAUCGUAAACCUCUUUUAUAAGGGAAUAAAGUGCGGGACGUGUCCCGUUUUGUAUGUACCUUAUGAAUAAGGAUCGGCUAACUCCGUG